rnacentral:rRNA from 1 species
ACGAACGCUGGCGGCGUGCUUAACACAUGCAAGUCAUGGGGACCCGCAAGAGGUAACACGGCAGAACGGGUGCGUAACACGUGAGCAACCUGCGCGAUUUGUGGGGGAUAGCCGGCCCAACGGCCGGGUAAUACCGCAUACGCUUUGGAGAGACAUCUCUCUUUGAGGGAAACCUCCGGGGCAAAUCGAGGGGCUCGCGGCCUAUCAGCUAGUUGGCGGGGGUAAUGGCCCACCAAGGCUCUGACGGGUAGCUGGUCUGAGAGGAUGGCCAGCCACCAUUGGGACUGAGAAACGGCCCAGACUCCUACGGGAGGCAGCAGUGGGGGAAUCGUUGCGCAAUGGCCGAAAGGCUGACGCAAGCGACCGCCGCGUGGCAUGGGAUGACGCCCAUAUCGGGGGUGUAAAACCACUGUUGCCCGGGGACGAACUUCCGGUUUCGACCGGAUUGACGGUAACACGGGUGAGGAAGCACCGGCUAACUCCGUGCCAGCAGCCGCGGGUAAUACGGAGCUGUGGACGAGCGUUUGUCCGGAAUCACUGGGCGUAAAGAGGCGCGUAGGCGGCCGCGGAGCGUAGGCGGUGAAAGCCCGUUGAGCUCAAACUCCGGGUCGGCCGUCGAUACUCUCGUGCUCGAGCACUGAUCGAGGAGGGUGAAUUCCGGGUGCAGCUGGUGGAAUGCGUAGAGAUCCGGAAGAACACCGGUGGCGAAGGCGGCCUGCUGGGCAGUAGCUGACGCUGAUGCGCGGACAAGCGUGGGUGCAAACAGGAUUAGAUACCCUGGUAGUCCACGCCGUAAACGUGAUUGGGCAAUAGGUGCGUUGGGGGAGCGCACGCUCUGAAGUGCCUCGGCGCUAACGCGAUUAAGUGCCCCGCACUGGGGAGUACGGCCGCAAGGCUGAAACUCAAAGGAAUUGACGGGGGCCCGCACAAGCGGUGGAGCAUGUGGUUUAAUUCGACGCAACGCGAAGAACCUUACCUAGGCUUGACAUGCUGGUGAAACCCUCCAGAAACGGAGGGCCUCCUUCGGGACACCAGCACAGGUGCUGCAUGGCUGGUCGUCAGCUCGUGUCGUGAGAUGUUGGGUUAAGUCCCGCAACGAGCGCAAGCCCCCGUUCCCAGUUGCUAACGGGUUAUGCCGAGGACUUCUGGGAAGACUGCCGGUGCCAAACCUGGAGGAAGGUGGGGACGACGUCAAGUCAUCAUGGUCCUUACGUCUAGGGCUACACACGUGCUAACAAUGGUCCGGUACAGAGGGUUGCGAGCUAGCGAUAGUAGGCCAAUCCCAGAAAGCCGGCCUCAGUGCGGAUUGGAGGCUGCAACUCGCCUCCAUGAAUCUGGAAUCGCUAGUAAUCGUGGAUCAGCUUACGCCACGGUGAAUACGUUCCCGUGCCUUGUACACACCGCCCGUCACGCCAUGGAAGCUGUUGAGCGCCCGAAGUCCAGUGUCGGAACCCGCAAGGGACCAAGCGGGCCGAAGGCGAGCGCAGGGUACUGGGGCG